GAUGAACGCUGGCGGCGUGCCUAAUACAUGCAAGUCGAGCGAACAGACGAGGUGCUUGCUCCUUUGACGUUAGCGGCGGACGGGUGAGUAACACGUAGGUAACCUACCUAUAAGACUGGGAUAACUUCGGGAAACCGGAGCUAAUACCGGAUAAUAUUUCGAACCGCAUGGUUCGAUAGUGAAAGAUGGCUUUGCUAUCACUUAUAGAUGGACCUGCGCCGUAUUAGCUAGUUGGUAAGGUAACGGCUUACCAAGGCAACGAUACGUAGCCGACCUGAGAGGGUGAUCGGCCACACUGGAACUGAGACACGGUCCAGACUCCUACGGGAGGCAGCAGUAGGGAAUCUUCCGCAAUGGGCGAAAGCCUGACGGAGCAACGCCGCGUGAGUGAUGAAGGUCUUCGGAUCGUAAAACUCUGUUAUUAGGGAAGAACAAACGUGUAAGUAACUGUGCACGUCUUGACGGUACCUAAUCAGAAAGCCACGGCUAACUACGUGCCAGCCGCCGCAGUAACAC
rnacentral:rRNA from 1 species